GAAAUAAGAAGCUCAUACUUAAGCCGCUAACUUAAGGUAUAAGUGGUUGAAUUCCAUUUUUCUUUCU
rnacentral:tRNA from 1 species